AUGGGGAGAGCUCCGUGCUGCGACAAGGCGAGCGUGAAGAAGGGCCCAUGGUCACCGGAGGAGGACGCCACACUCAAGUCCUACAUCGAGCAGAACGGCACCGGCGGCAACUGGAUCGCGCUGCCACAGAAGAUUGGUCUGAGGAGGUGUGGAAAGAGCUGCCGCCUCCGGUGGCUCAAUUACCUCCGGCCGAACAUAAGGCACGGUGGAUUCUCAGACGAGGAGGACAGGAUCAUCCUCAGCCUCUACAUCAGCAUAGGCAGCAGGUGGUCGAUAAUAGCUGCACAGCUGCCGGGGAGGACGGACAAUGACAUCAAGAACUACUGGAACACAAGGCUCAAGAAGAAGCUCUUCGGCAAACAGUCGCGCAAGGACCAGAGGCAGCACCAGUUCGCACGCCAGGCAACGAACAGCGGGCAUAAGGAAGAAGCCAGCGAGGGCGCAGCCGGGAACAAUGGCUUUGCUGCUGGUGCUUACAAUUGGCACCAGCAUGCAAUGGCCAUGCCGUCCCGUCCGAUGCCAGGUUCAAUGGUGGAAGGCAAUCGUAUCGGAGAAGGCGUGGAUGAGUCCAUCCGGAAGCUUCUGUUCAAGCUAGGAGGAAGCUCUUUCGCUGCCCUGCAAGCCCCGCCGUGCCUUCCUCCACCAAUGUAUGGGGAAGCUCCAAACUUCGUGGCGCCAUCGGUGCACACGGCCCCGCUAAACGAAGGUGGCAUCCACUGUUCCGGCGUGCUGCCUGCACUGGAGCUGGACGAGAGCUUCCAAUUCAACCAGGUCAAGCUGGACGGGCUGGAAUGCUUCUUCGGCAUGGGGGACCAGAGCAUGAGGUGGAAUGAAGUGAGCCACUUGGUCUGCCCUAACACUACUGUCGCAUCCAGCUCCCAAGGGAUGCAGCAGUACUGCCUCGCAGAGGAGCCCGUCGACCUUGGGAUGCAGUAG
rnacentral:rRNA from 1 species